AUUGAACGCUGGCGGCAUGCCUAACACAUGCAAGUCGAGCGGAAGCAGGUCUCCGGCUCCUGACUAGUGUCGACGGCGGGAGUGAUACACCGAAACGUGUCCAUACUCGAGGGGAAUCGAGUCGAAACCUUAGCUCUUACCGCAUACACGAUAAGAGUGAGAACCGGGUGCCUCAAAGGAUUGUGCGUUUGGUGCUGCCGAUGGCAGAUUAGCUAGUUGGUGGGAUAAAAGCUUACCAAGGCGACGAUCUGUAGCUGGUCUGAGAGGAUGACCAGCCACACUGGAACUGAGACACGGUCCAGACUCCUACGGGAGGCAGCAGUGGGGAAUAUUGGACAAUGGGCGAAAGCCUGAUCCAGCAAUGCCGCGUGCAUGAUGAAGGUCUUCGGAUUGUAAACUGCUUUUGUAAGGGACGAAGAGGAUUGGGCUAAUACCUGGCGAACUUGACGGUACCGUAAGAAUAAGCACCGGCUAACUACGUG
rnacentral:rRNA from 1 species